GUAUAGUGUGUUUCUUUAUGUAUAAUUUUGUAUACAUAUUGUUUUUUUUUCAUCAUAUCAUGUCUUUCAUAUUUAUGCUUUGUGUAAGUAAAAUGUUCAUAAAUCAUUCUUAUCUUCAAACUAAAAAUGUAUUGUGCUAUGCAAAAUGUCUGUAUGAUUUUAGUUGCCAGAGGUGAGUACCAUAACAGUUGAAAAGUUAGUUUUGUUUAGUUCAAGUUUUGGUUCACAGUUCUGUUUGUUAUUUGGCAAAAUUUACAUGUCUGCAUUGAGUCUUGAUUUCAGCUCGAUUGUGGACUGAAGAAGAUUGCCCGCAGAGGGAUUGGAUACAAAAUACAAACGAAGACAACAUAGGUAAGUAAAAUUGUUAUCUGUUUCAUGUUUACUGUUACAGUUCAAUAUUGUGUUUAUAAAUUGUAAGUUGUACAAACACAUUCAAAAGUUUCUGAUCAUGCUUUCGAUUUCAUUUCAGCUUUACUGCUGGACGAGUGUUCUCUACUACUAGACGUGUCAGGUUUACUACCAGGCGAGCAGUGACAACAAGGCGCCUUUGUGGAAACAACACAACAAAAAACUGUACUGCUAGACGAGCAGUGACAGAAAGGCGCCUGAACAUGCAACACAAAACAAAAAAUGCCAAUAUACAAACCUUGAUGUGAACACCGAGUAGUCAAUGCAUACGUGUGGCGUACAGCUGCGACAAAACCGUGGGUCCAUCGCACCGAUAACUCGAACAUUGGCCCGCGUAUGGACAUCAGUGCAACUUUGUGAAUCCAUGUAUCUUUGUGAAUCCAUGUAACAUUGCGAAUGUGUGUCGAUCGAAAAAUGUGUACAUUCUGAACUGAAACGAACUCGGUGUUGCAAGUGGCAAGUGUUGACAGUGUGUAUGUUUAUGUUUAUGUUUUUACAUGAAAACUAAAGGAGAUUGUUCUCCUACCUUUUUUUCCUUGUUUUAUUGCGCUGGCCAGCAAUAUUGAUGUAUUGAUGUAUGUGUUUGUGUUUAAACUAUGCAAUACCAAAAUCAAACAAAAAAUAAACAUUAACAGUCAUUAACUGUGUUUGGGCGGCCGAGGGGUUUAAGACUCCACAAGUGUGAAGCGCACUGAUAGCACUUGGGGGUGAACACCUCGGUAUUUCGGUGCUAAAAUGUUUUCACGGUGCUUAUCUUGACGCACUGUUAAGACUACCAACCAGUUAAUGAUUGCUUCAUCUUUAAACAAAAAGUAAGUCUCUACUUUGGCACAAGAGACUCCAAGUACCAAAUACCAACAAUUAAAAAGCAGACGUUUUUCAAAACUAUGAUCGCUGAGAUUGAUAGUCAGAUGGAGUCCUGCCCAGUUAGCUGUGUAGCGGUCUAGGGCGGGGUUGCAAGUCAAUACGAAAUGAGGCGCUAUAAAGCAACUCGUCCCCGUUAUGACCGUCAAUACUUUCGACACUAUCUGGGAAUCCUUUCACCACCACAUUGUUGCGCUGUUGGAAGGGUGGUAGGCACGCAUGGUGACAUGCCUGUGCUUUGCUAUGCGACACCAUGGUAUUUUCGUACGGUGACACGAAAUAUCUUAAUCUGGCUCUCUCAGAAACGCAGGCACGCGUUGACCGAACCUGACCGAUGACCGAGCAAUAACAUUUCUAUUAAGUGCUUCAAUGCACAAAGUCUGCUAGGCUGGGUGGGA